UACGUAGGUGGCAAGCGUUAUCCGGAUUUACUGGGCGUAAAGGGUGCGUAGGUGGUUUUUUAAGUCAGGAGUGAAAGGCUACGGCUCAACCGUAGUAAGCUCUUGAAACUGGAAAACUUGAGUGCAGGAGAGGAAAGUGGAAUUCCUAGUGUAGCGGUGAAAUGCGUAGAUAUUCGGAGGAACACCAGAGGCGAAGGCGGCUCAUUGGCCAUGUACUGACACUGAAGCGCGAAAGCGUGGGGAGCAAACA
rnacentral:rRNA from 1 species